GUAGGGCGCGAGCGUUGUCCGGAAUUAUUGGGCGUAAAGAGCUUGUAGGCGGUUUGUUGCGUCUGCUGUGAAAGACCGGGGGCUUAACCCCGGUAUUGCAGUGGGUACGGGCAGACUAGAGUGCAGUAGGGGAGACUGGAAUUCCUGGUGUAGCGGUGAAAUGCGCAGAUAUCAGGAGGAACACCGAUGGCGAAGGCAGGUCUCUGGGCUGUAACUGACGCUGAGAAGCGAAAGCAUGGGGAGCGAACAGGAUUAGAUACCCUGGUAGUCCAUGCCGUAAACGUUGGGCACUAGGUGUGGGGGACAUUCCACGUUUUCCGCGCCGUAGCUAACGCAUUAAGUGCCCCGCCUGGGGAGUACGGCCGCAAGGCUA
rnacentral:rRNA from 1 species